GCGCCCGUAGCUCAGCUGGAUAGAGCGUUGCCCUCCGGAGGCAAAGGCCAGGGGUUCGAAUCCUCUCGGGCGCGCCA
rnacentral:tRNA from 1 species